UGAGGAAUAUUGGUCAAUGGUCGGGAGACUGAACCAGCCAAGCCGCGUGAGGGAUGAAGGUGCUAAGCAUUGUAAACCUCUUUUGUCAGGGAACAAAGGCAUCCACGAGUGGAUGUGUGAGUGUACCUGAAGAAAAAGCAUCGGCUAACUCCGUGCCAGCAGCCGCGGUAAUACGGAGGAUGCGAGCGUUAUCCGGAUUUAUUGGGUUUAAAGGGUGCGUAGGCGGCCUGUUAAGUCAGCGGUAAAAGCCCGGGGCUCAACCCCGCGAGCGUUGAACAUGCUGGCUGGAGUUGGCGAGAGGUAUGCGGAAUGCGCGGUGUAGCGGUGAAAUGCUUAGAUAUCGCGCAGAACUCCGAUUGCGAAGGCAGCAUGCCGGCGCCACACUGACGCUGAGGCACGAAAGCGUGGGGAUCAAACAGGAUUAGAUACC
rnacentral:rRNA from 1 species